UAUUAGUAACAUUGAAUUAGCAUUUAGAGAUAUAGAACAGUUAUGUUUUUUAAAACUAUUUACAAAAUUGAAACGCUUUAUACAUCAUUCCCUAAAUAUCCUUCAUAGACCUUUUUUUUUCUGGAAUUAAUGCACCAAGAAAUUUUUAAAUACAUAAAGCGACAGAUACCAAAUGUAUCAUUGUAUCAGUAGAUAAUGUGGGUAAUGAAAACUAUUCAUUCUGCAUACAUACUGCUAAGUGGAUGUAUUCAGAACAUUUGUCUCUAGCCCUUAUAGUUCUGUGAUAACAACGUGAAUUAUAGAUUGUUUUAAAAUCUUAUUUUUUAAUGGAUAAUAUAUUGCUGAAUUUGUCAGUUAUAUAAUUAGUUAAGAAAUCAUCCACCCUAUGAGCACUUGUUGAAUUUAUCAUGCUCAUUGUUUGGAAGAUAUGCUGCUGCACUAUUGCAUUAAUUUUGUAAUUAGCCCCCAAUGAGGUUGAUUAUCCUUUUUUAAAAAAAAUUGACUAACUUUUAUGUGUGUCAUGCAUGAGCACGUUUAUAAUGUCCCUAAUGUCAUAUGGACACAUAAAUAUAUGAGUUUCUUGGAAUCUGAUCUAUGGGAAAUGUAAACUGAAUGUUGGGACAAUAUUUUAAGUAUUAAUAAUUGAUUUUAAUUUCAGUCAGGCAAAUUUCAUGCUAUUAUACCAUGUUAAAACAUUCAUUCUUUUUGUCCUGUAAUGAGAACUAACAAACCUAUUCAUUUUACAUGAAAAUCUGAUUGAAUUGUUGUUUAUUUAUAGGUGAUAAUAAAUAUUUUGUUCUUUUUUUAAGGUCACCAGAGGAGAAAUUCUAAUGGGAAGGAAGGGUUCUUUUACAAACCAAGAAGUAGGAAAAGGAGUUGAG